rnacentral:rRNA from 1 species
UACAGAGGUCCCAAGCGUUGUUCGGAUUCACUGGGCGUAAAGGGUGCGUAGGUGGCCGGGUAAGUCUGACGUGAAAUCUCCGAGCCUAACUCGGAAACUGCAUCGGAUACUAUCCGGCUUGAGGAUUGGAGGGGGGGACUGGAAUACUUGGUGUAGCAGUGAAAUGCGUAGAUAUCAAGUGGAACACCAGUGGCGAAGGCGAGUCCCUGGACAAUCCUGACACUGAGGCACGAAAGCUAGGGGGGGAGCAAACAGG